AUUUCAUAAAUUUAAAGAAUUGUAAAGAGUGAUUUAGUGAACAUUUUUCAUUAAGGAACCCAUAGUUAGAAAUGUGAAAUAGCAGCUCCACACCCUUAAUAGGAUUGGAGGUUAUGCCACUUCUAAUCAUUGGAAAUAAAAAGGAUGGAAUAAUGCAAACAAACAGAACUAUUUCUUUUUACAUUAGCAAAUGUUCAAAGUGAUAUCUGCUAACUUCAUUAGUAUGUGUGUGCAACAACAAAUCAUGUUUUUUUUUAAUAUUUGGAAGAUUUCACUCACUUCUGGUGCUAUGAAAUGCUGUGGAAGAUGUGUUCAUGAAGCUUACCCACUGUUUUCACCAGUGUUUUGUAGACAGUAUUCUUCACAUAUCUUUCAUUUUAUUCUCUGUCAUAAGGACAGGAAAUCAGGCAAUUCAUAGCACUGUGAAACCACUGUUUUACAUUUCUGACUGGGUUUCUUAAUGAAAAAUGUUCACUGUCAGUCUUUACAAUUCUUUG
rnacentral:lncRNA from 1 species